GGGCGGCGUGCUUACCAUGCAGUCGAACGAUGAUGCCCAGCUUGCUGGGCGGAUUAGUGGCGAACGGGUGAGUAAUACGUGAGUAACCUGCCCUUGACUCUGGGAUAAGCCUGGGAAACUGGGUCUAAUACUGGAUACUACCGUCCACCGCAUGGUGGGUGGUGGAAAGGGUUUUACUGGUUUUGGAUGGGCUCACGGCCUAUCAGCUUGUUGGUGGGGUAAUGGCUCACCAAGGCGACGACGGGUAGCCGGCCUGAGAGGGUGACCGGCCACACUGGGACUGAGACACGGCCCAGACUCCUACGGGAGGCAGCAGUGGGGAAUAUUGCACAAUGGGCGGAAGCCUGAUGCAGCGACGCCGCGUGAGGGAUGACGGCCUUCGGGUUGUAAACCUCUUUCAGUAGGGAAGAAGCGAGAGUGACGGUACCUGCAGAAGAAGCGCCGGCUAACUACGUGCCAGCAGCCGCGGUAAUACGUAGGGCGCAAGCGUUGUCCGGAAUUAUUGGGCGUAAAGAGCUCGUAGGCGGUUUGUCGCGUCUGCUGUGAAAGCCCGGGGCUCAACCCCGGGUCUGCAGUGGGUACGGGCAGACUAGAGUGCAGUAGGGGAGACUGGAAUUCCUGGUGUAGCGGUGAAAUGCGCAGAUAUCAGGAGGAACACCGAUGGCGAAGGCAGGUCUCUGGGCUGUUACUGACGCUGAGGAGCGAAAGCAUGGGGAGCGAACAGGAUUAGAUACCCUGGUAGUCCAUGCCGUAAACGUUGGGCACUAGGUGUGGGGGACAUUCCACGUUUUCCGCGCCGUAGCUAACGCAUUAAGUGCCCCGCCUGGGGAGUACGGCCGCAAGGCUAAAACUCAAAGGAAUUGACGGGGGCCCGCACAAGCGGCGGAGCAUGCGGAUUAAUUCGAUGCAACGCGAAGAACCUUACCAAGGCUUGACAUUCACCGGACCGCCCCAGAGAUGGGGUUUCCCUUCGGGGCUGGUGGACAGGUGGUGCAUGGUUGUCGUCAGCUCGUGUCGUGAGAUGUUGGGUUAAGUCCCGCAACGAGCGCAACCCUCGUUCUAUGUUGCCAGCACGUGAUGGUGGGGACUCAUAGGAGACUGCCGGGGUCAACUCGGAGGAAGGUGGGGAUGACGUCAAAUCAUCAUGCCCCUUAUGUCUUGGGCUUCACGCAUGCUACAAUGGCCGGUACAAAGGGUUGCGAUACUGUGAGGUGGAGCUAAUCCCAAAAAGCCGGUCUCAGUUCGGAUUGAGGUCUGCAACUCGACCUCAUGAAGUCGGAGUCGCUAGUAAUCGCAGAUCAGCAACGCUGCGGUGAAUACGUUCCCGGGCCUUGUACACACCGCCCGUCAAGUCACGAAAGUUGGUAACACCCGAAGCCGGUGGCCUAACCCCUUGUGGGAGGGAGCCGUCGAAGGUGACGCAGU
rnacentral:rRNA from 2 species